rnacentral:rRNA from 1 species
GAUGAACGCUGGCGGCGUGCCUAAUACAUGCAAGUCGAGCGAACGGACGAGAAGCUUGCUUUUCUGAUGUUAGCGGCGGACGGGUGAGUAACACGUGGAUAACCUACCUAUAAGACUGGGAUAACUUCGGGAAACCGGAGCUAAUACCGGAUAAUAUUUUGAACCGCAUGGUUCAAAAGUGAAAGACGGUCUUGCUGUCACUUAUAGAUGGAUCCGCGCUGCAUUAGCUAGUUGGUAAGGUAACGGCUUACCAAGGCAACGAUGCAUAGCCGACCUGAGAGGGUGCUCGGCCACACUGGAACUGAGACACGGUCCAGACUCCUACGGGAGGCAGCAGUAGGGAAUCUUCCGCAAUGGGCGAAAGCCUGACGGAGCAACGCCGCGUGAGUGAUGAAGGUCUUCGGAUCGUAAAACUCUGUUAUUAGGGAAGAACAUAUGUGUAAGUAACUGUGCACAUCUUGACGGUACCUAAUCAGAAAGCCACGGCUAACUACGUG